rnacentral:snRNA from 1 species
GGAGAUGAGAGUAAUCUGACUGUGCUGUGUCAGGCCAUUGAUCUCCAGGGUUGAGUUGGCUGAUUUAGCUGGCUAGAUGGAUGUCUAGUUCCUUGUUCAGCUCCAGGUGCUUCCAUCCCAAAGCUGCACACUUGGCUGAAAAGGACGACCACCCCCAAUAGAGGAGGACUGGGUCACUCUUCAGUCNAGGGUCUGAGUAACUGCAUUUCUCUGAAAGAACUCCCAAACAGGCUGUCAAAAGGAACCAACGUCAUGUCCUCAGCAGGGAAAUGGAUAACAUCAUCACGUGAAGUGAAAUAAACCAGACUUCAGACAAAUAUUGAAUGUUUUCUAUCA